GUGACGUCGCGAGAAGUCCACUGAACCUUAUCAUUUAGAGGAAGGAGAAGUCGUAACAAGGUUUCCGUAGGUGAACCUGCGGAAGGAUCAUUGUCGAGACCUGCCCAGCAGAAGGACCGGCGAAC
rnacentral:rRNA from 2 species